rnacentral:rRNA from 1 species
UACAGAGGGUGCGAGCGUUAAUCGGAAUUACUGGGCGUAAAGCGUGCGCAGACGGUUGCGUAAGUCAGAUGUGAAAGCCCCGGGCUCAACCUGGGAAUUGCAUUUGAGACUGCGUAGCUAGGGUGCGGAAGAGGGAAGCGGAAUUUCCGGUGUAGCGGUGAAAUGCGUAGAUAUCAUUUGGAACGCCAAGGGCGAAAGCAGGCAGCUGGGGUUGUGCCGACGCUGAGACACGAAAGCGUAGGUAGCGAAUGGG